GAAAUGCGAUAAUUAAUGUGAAUUGCAGAAUUCAGUGAAUCAUCGAGUCUUUGAACACACAUUGCGCCCCCUGGUAUUCCGGGGGGCAUACCUGUCCGAGCGUCAUUGCUGCCCUCAAGCACGGCUUGUGUGUUGGGCUUCCGUCCCUGGCAACGGGGACGGGCCCAAAAGGCAGUGGCGGCACCAUGUCUGGUCCUCGAGCGUAUGGGGCUUUGUCACCCGCUCCCGUAGGUCCAGCUGGCAGCUAGCCUCGCAACCAAUCUUUUUAACCAGGUUGACCUCGGAUCAGGUAGGGAUACCCGCUGAACUUAAGC
rnacentral:misc_RNA from 1 species